CUAAUAAGUAACCUUGGUCAAUUUCCUUCUGUAGGAGUAGGUCAAUAGUGUCGGGUGCUGCCAAGGCUGUCUGCAAAUUAUUACAUUCCAGGAUCCCCGUGGGCAUGUGAAUAAUACCCGUGUGAAACCCCAUCGUAAACCCUGUCACCAAAAAAUCAACGAGAUGUUGGGAAGGGUGAUCACGCAAAAGCUGUUUCAGUAGGGAGACAUGAAGAGACGAUAAG